rnacentral:lncRNA from 1 species
CGCCCAAAAUACUUAAACCGGAUUGAAAUUUUGGCUAAAUUACAGAAAACCCCCCUGUCAAAAUCUGAUUUUUCACUUCCCCCCCUAUAUUUAAAAACCUGCACUUUGCCCUCCUGAAAAAUGAGAAAUGUUCACAGGGGGAUNGUUGAAGAAAAAUCUAACAGAGAUCAAAGAUGAGAUAAAUAAUUUUUUUAUUAGGAACAGAACUAUAUAAUUUUUUUUUAAUGAAAUUUUGGCUAAAUUACAGAAAACCCCCCUGUCAAAAUCUGAUUUUUCACUUCCCCCCCUAUAUUUAAAAACCUGCACUUUGCCCUCCUGAAAAAUGAGAAAUGUUCACAGGGGGAUACACCGUGAGAAAAUGACCAAAAUGCCCCCACCAUCUUCGUCUUCUCCCCCAACCUCGCUCAGUCGUCGCCCCACCUCUUCCGUUCUUCGCGCCUCGCUCAACCGCAGCUCCGACUCCAUUUUCCUCCACAUGCUUCCCCACUCUUCCUGCACUCGCGUUGCCUGCCCAUUUCGGCGAUGAUAGGGAAGAAAUCGGAGUGGUCAUGGAUGGAGAGGCAUGCGAGGGCAAGCAGCGGAGAAGGGCGAAGGGGAUGUGGGUGACGGCAAGGGCGAAGCAGUGGAGCUAGGAGGGCGAGGCGGCGAGGCGGUUGUGAGGCGGAGGGAGGCGAAG